rnacentral:lncRNA from 1 species
AACUAUUCUGUGCUAGGGCAUUAACAGCCAUUUAUAUCUCAUCUUUCUCAUAGCAAUUUUAUUUUAACAAUCACAUUCAAUGUGUUUCCUUACAGGGGAAUACAGUGUGGGAUCUUAGAAGCCCACAGAAGGCCAGUUUAGCAGAUAUUUGAGGUACAGACAACCACUAAUCAUGGUUUCUGAGCGACCACUAUUAAUGCAGAAAAACAAUAGUGAAUGACAUAAGGAGAUAUUGUUCCAAGUUCUGGAAUGUGUUACAGGACGGCAGGAAAUGUUUGAGCUGGGACCACCAAGCACACAUGCUGAUGCAUACAUUGUGGCCUCAUGGAAUGUGAACAGACUGGGCUGCUGCUGCAAUGAUCAGUUCUGCUAGCUCCAUGAAACUUCCUGCCAGUACCACCUGAGCAACUGAUUUCAAGUCUCUCCCCUCCCACCAAGGAGUGUCUUUGUUGGCACCAUGUGGGAAGCCAUAGGAACCCUCUCAGCUUGCAGUCUAGGCAUGCAUACUCCAAAAGGUCAAGGCAGUUAACAACUCAAGGGGUGAACUAUGACCAUUGAAAGACAGAAAUAAGUAGAAAGUUCUUCCUCCUCUUUGGCCCCAGAGAAAAGGUCCUGAAAUACAUCUUCAUAAAAUAGAGCAACCGGUUGCUUACAGCAGUGGCCAGCUGGUAAUGCUUCC